AGUGAACGCUGGCGGUAGGCCUAACACAUGCAAGUCGAACGGCAGCACAGUAAGAGCUUGCUCUUACGGGUGGCGAGUGGCGGACGGGUGAGGAAUACAUCGUAAUCUACUUUUUCGUGGGGGAUAACGUAGGGAAACUUACUCUAAUACCGCAUACGACCUACGGGUGAAAGCAGGGGAUCUUCGGACCUUGCGCGAUUGAAUGAGCCGAUGUCGGAUUAGCUAGUUGGCGGGGUAAAGGCCCACCAAGGCGACGAUCCGUAGCUGGUCUGAGAGGAUGAUCAGCCACACUGGAACUGAGACACGGUCCAGACUCCUACGGGAGGCAGCAGUGGGGAAUAUUGGACAAUGGGCGCAAGCCUGAUCCAGCCAUACCGCGUGGGUGAAGAAGGCCUUCGGGUUGUAAAGCCCUUUUGUUGGGAAAGAAAAGCAGCAGGUUAAUACCCCGCUGUUCUGACGGUACCCAAAGAAUAAGCACCGGCUAACUUCGUG
rnacentral:rRNA from 1 species